rnacentral:pre_miRNA from 1 species
UAUGUACUCCCUCCGUUCGGAAUUACUUGUCUCGGAAAUGGAUGUAUCUAGAACUAAAAUACAUCUACAUACAUCCAUUUUCACGACAAGUAAUUCCGAACGAAGGGAGUAGUCA